rnacentral:lncRNA from 1 species
CUUGAAAAUUGAUAAACUAAUAUCAUCUUACUUUUAAAUUAUACAUAAACCUAGUGUACAGUAAACACUGAACUAUAUUAUCUCAAUUUCAGGUUUUUCCGACAUCAUUAUUUGUGAAGGUCAGUCAGCAUAUAUUCACUGCAAAUGGCCAAAACAUCGCAUCCAAAUUUACCAAGCAAUCUACGAUCGAACCACUGGGAGAAUUGUUUGUCCACACCCCGCUAUUAAGACUCAUAAUUGUAGAUCUUCAGUAUCGAACAGAAAAGUAAAAUUGCAGUGCAAUGGGAGAAGUCUGUGUAAAUUAGAAUCUAAUAAUCACCAGUUUGGAGAUCAAUGUUAUGGCACCUACAAGUACUUGGAAGUAAAAUACAAUUGUAAAUAAAUAAAUUAUGUGAAAAUGUGGGCCUU